rnacentral:tRNA from 1 species
AUUUAUAUAGUUUAAAUAAAACAUUAUAUUUUCAAUAUAAAAAUAAAUUUAUGUAAAUU